GCGAAUCUCGAAAGCCUGUCUCAGUUUGGAUUGGAGGCUGAAACCCGCCUCCAUGAAGUUGGAUUCGCUAGUAAUCGCGCAUCAGCCAUGGCGCGGUGAAUACGUUCCCGGGCCUUGUACACACCGCCCGUCAAGCCAUGGGAGCCGGGGGUGCCUGAAGUUCGUGACCGCAAGGAGCGACCUAGGGCAAAACUGGUGACUGGGGCUAAGUCGUAACAAGGUAGC
rnacentral:rRNA from 1 species